AACGAACGCUGGCGGCAGGCCUAACACAUGCAAGUCGAGCGAGGACUUCGGUUCUAGCGGCGGACGGGUGAGUAGCGCGUGGGAAUGUGCCCUUCUCUACGGAAUAGCCCUGGGAAACUGGGAGUAAUACCGUAUACGCCCUAUUGGGGAAAGAUUUAUCGGAGAAGGAUCAGCCCGCGUUGGAUUAGGUAGUUGGUGGGGUAAUGGCCUACCAAGCCGACGAUCCAUAGCUGGUUUGAGAGGAUGAUCAGCCACACUGGGACUGAGACACGGCCCAGACUCCUACGGGAGGCAGCAGUGGGGAAUCUUAGACAAUGGGGGCAACCCUGAUCUAGCCAUGCCGCGUGAGUGAUGAAGGCCUUAGGGUUGUAAAGCUCUUUCAGCUGGGAAGAUAAUGACGGUACCAGCAGAAGAAGCCCCGGCUAACUCCGUG
rnacentral:rRNA from 1 species